AACGAACGCUGGCGGCAUGCCUAACACAUGCAAGUCGAACGAAGGCUUCGGCCUUAGUGGCGCACGGGUGCGUAACGCGUGGGAAUCUGCCCUUUGCUUCGGAAUAACAGUGGGAAACUACUGCUAAUACCGGAUGAUGUCUUCGGACCAAAGAUUUAUCGGCAAGGGAUGAGCCCGCGUAGGAUUAGGUAGUUGGUGGGGUAAAGGCCUACCAAGCCGACGAUCCUUAGCUGGUCUGAGAGGAUGAUCAGCCACACUGGGACUGAGACACGGCCCAGACUCCUACGGGAGGCAGCAGUGGGGAAUAUUGGACAAUGGGGGGAACCCUGAUCCAGCAAUGCCGCGUGAGUGAUGAAGGCCUUAGGGUUGUAAAGCUCUUUUACCAGGGAUGAUAAUGACAGUACCUGGAGAAUAAGCUCCGGCUAACUCCGUGCCAGCCGCCGCUGUAACAC
rnacentral:rRNA from 1 species